rnacentral:rRNA from 1 species
UACGAAGGGGGCUAGCGUUGCUCGGAAUUACUGGGCGUAAAGCGCACGUAGGCGGAUUGUUAAGUCGGGGGUGAAAUCCUGGAGCUCAACUCCAGAACUGCCUUUGAUACUGAGAAGCUUGAGUCCGGGAGAGGUGAGUGGAACUGCGAGUGUAGAGGUGAAAUUCGUAGAUAUUCGCAAGAACACCAGUGGCGAAGGCGGCUCACUGGCCCGAUACUGACGCUGAGGUGCGAAAGCGUGGGGAGCAAACAGG